rnacentral:rRNA from 1 species
GUGCCAGCAGCCGCGGUAAUACGAAGGGAGCUAGCGUUGUUCGGAUUUACUGGGCGUAAAGGGCGCGUAGGCGGUUUGGCAAGUUGGAUGUGAAAGCCCUGGGCUCAACCCGGGAAUUGCAUUCAAAACUGCCUUACUUGAAUUCGGUAGAGGUUGGUAGAAUUCCCAGUGUAGAGGUGAAAUUCGUAGAGAUUGGGAAGAAUACCCGUGGCGAAGGCGGCCAACUGGACCGACAUUGACGCUGAGGCGCGAAAGCGUGGGUAGCAAACAGGAUUAGAUACCCCGGUAGUCCACGCCGUAAACGAUGCAUGCUAGACGUUAAAGCCGUCAGGUUUUAGUGUCGCAGCUAACGCACUAAGCAUGCCGCCUGGGGAGUACGGCCCGCAGGGUUGAAACUCAAA